ACGGGAGGCAGCAGUGGGGAAUAUUGCACAUUGGGCGCAUGCCUGAUGCAGCGACGCCGGUGAGGGAUGCGGCCUUCGGGUACUAAACCUCUUUCAGUAGGGAAGAAGCGAAAGUGACGGUACCUGCAGAAGAAGCGCCGGCUAACUACGUGCCAGCAGCCGCGGUAAUACGUAGGGCGCAAGCGUUAUCGGGAUUUAUUGGGCGUAAAGAGCUCGUAGGCGGUU
rnacentral:rRNA from 1 species